UUCACUGCAAAAAAAAUAAAUUACAAUCUUUCUGUUCAGUAGCUACCAGCUCAAGUCUCUGCUUAAUAAGAGCUCAGGAUGUGCUCAUAUCCUGACCUUAUACCUGCUUGGAAACACCUCUGUUCAGAUACCUGACUGACUCCAAUAAAUCUGUUACGUUGACUUCAUCAGCAGAGCUUUGGAAGUACUACAGAGCUUGUCUCCUCCUCAAAGGCAACGAGGGAGCCCUGCACAGCACAUUACAGAGUACACCAGGGUUACUCAGAAGCUCAUCAAGUGGAAGAGAAAGGAUCACACUGAAAAAGCUGCAGCACGGUGAGGGUUUCAGUCCCAACCCCUGUUCAGCUCUGCUUCUGAGACUGGUUUCCUCAUGGAAAGAGACAAAAAAGAAUGCUAGCAAAUCACAGCUCCUUCACCACAAAUAUCACAGCUACAUUUUGCAAGUUAAUCACUCUACUCAUCUAAAACUCUCUGCACGUCUGCACACCAGCUCCAAACAAGAAUUCUAAUACAACAACAAACCUUCCUUUGCAACCUCCUCGAUUUAAACUGCACAGCAAAGAAAAGAGCUGGAGCAGAAGAGUUUACUCAGAGUGGUUACUGCCCAGUCCGGGUACCCCUCAGCCUACUGGAAGACGUUCUACUCUUCUGCAAGGAACAAGCACGCAGCAGUGUUAGAGUUAUUUAGAACAAACGCAGCUGAACACAAUAGUGCACAGCACUUUCUGUCCCCAGCUGGAAGUGCUUCACAAACAGGAAACACGGCAAGGCUGCUCUCGCUCAUUCAGUGUCUCCCAGGGCACGACAGAGCCAUGCAGAAGGAAUGGGCUCACACAGCACCCGAGCAGGCAGGCUUCAGUCCAGUGGAAAAUGAACAAAAUGUGCAGAGGACUCGGAAGCACAAAGCUGAACCUCCUAACUGGCACUGGACACUGAAAAACAAGGCAGUCACCAUCCUGGCCAUACCACAAAGCAGUCCUGGCUGUAACCCAGCCCUCCUGGAGCAGUUAGCAUGUGAGCUUUGCAUUCCUACCUGCCUGUGGAUGGGACAGACCCUAUCAUCAGCAGUUUUCCCAGAGAGAAAUCCAGUAAAUCUCAAAGCUUGCAAGACCACGCAAUGGGUAACCUCCCUGUGCUUCUUCCUAUGUGAAAACAUACAGCAUUGCAACAAAGGAACGGGAGGAAUAGAAAUAUGAGUUCUCCUUUUUAAAAUGUCUCGUUUGCAACAUGGAGGGAAGGUUGCUUUUUUGUUUGUUGGUUCCAUUUAAAUAAAGGGUACUUUUAUUGGAGUGUAAGAAGAGAGAAACACAGAAGAAACCUCAAUUUAAAAAAAGGUAACAUGAUAAAUCUGGCUUACCUCCACCAGACACAAAGCAAACUGUCAUUAAAUUACCCCUCUCUGCACAGGAAUUGAAGUUGAGCCCAGUCUCUCUCUUUUUCUCACACAGGAUUAGGUGAUAAGUUAGCCAGAAACAAUCCAAAAGAGCUCCAAAACUAUUCCAUAUAUGGCAGAUACUUUUCAAAGUCCCGUUCUGCCACUGAUUUUGGCAGUUGUGAAGAGAAUCUGUCCCAUUUUUCAAUAUCAUCUCUCUUCUCACAGUACACUGACUUUGAGGGGGUGCAGCUCUCCUGAUGUCAUCACACAUCCUGGAAGCAAGAUGUUAUGCCAAGGCCUGAAUCUCUACCGUUUCUGCAAUUCCCCAACUACGAUGAUUUAAAGAAAAAACCCUCAGAAGCAGUCUAAAAUUAUAGAAACCAUGACACAGUUCCAAACUGAAUAAAUAUUAGAAGGAAAAAAAAAAAAGCAACUGACAUCAAAACCUACCCAACAGUAGAGAAAUGUACGUAGUGACACACUGCAGAUUCAGCGUAGAAAAGAAAAUAACAAAACUUCUGCUAUCUUUAGUGCUGACUCAUCAGAUUCUGGCUGCGGGAUCUGAUAUCCCUAAGGAUGUUUGGGCUUUGGAGAUGUCCCUAAAGAAUACACACGCCUCACUGUGCAAAUACACUGCCUAGAACUGAGAUAAAAAAAAAUCUGUGUUCUUGAGUUCUGAAGAAGGUGGCUUAUAUCCUGCAGGGAGUGGAGACAGUUAUUAGGACGAGAGUGGGAAAUAACAGGCAUGAAAUGGGGCUUUUCCUUGCUGAGGGUAAGUGAGGUCAUAUCAAGUCUGAGCUGCAGAAAAUGAUGAAUGCGUCUAACUUUCUCAUAUUCUGUUUUCCCAGGACUGAAAGCCAUUUUCUCCUACUAGCCUAAACCAGCCAUAAAAGCACUUAUUGGCAAAUGAGCAGCCAGAGGUCUGGGUAAAAGAGGAAGCAACUGGAGUGCAGCAAGGACAUCUGCCUCUUGGUGCAGCACUGCAGCGCUACCCCAGGCCAGAGGCAUCAGGAGGCAACAGGGACUGUUUUCCUGUUGCAAGGAAAAAAUCUCUUCAGACAGAGAAGUGCAAGAGAAUUCUGCAGGUACUGAAGAGUAUUUAGCUAAAAUGAAGCCACAGCCACAGAAAUACCAGGAAAAAUAGAAGGAAAAAAAAAAAA